rnacentral:rRNA from 11 species
GGCCGCACGCGCGCUACACUGACAGAGCCAACGAGUUUUUCUCCUUGACCGAAAGGUCUGGGUAAUCUUGUUAAACUCUGUCGUGCUGGGGAUAGAGCAUUGCAAUUAUUGCUCUUCAACGAGGAAUGCCUAGUAAGCGCAAGUCAUCAGCUUGCGUUGAUUACGUCCCUGCCUUUUGUACACACCGCCCGUCGCUACUACCGAUUGAAUGGCUAAGUGAGGCUUUCGGACU